AGGGUUCGAUCUGGCUCAGGACGAACGCUGGCGGCGUGCCUAACACAUGCAAGUCGAGCGGGGACAUACGACGGAGUCAAAGUUUCGGAUGGAGACGAAGAUGUAUGUUCUAGCGGCGGACGGGUGAGUAACGCGUGAGCAACCUGUCCCUUACAGGGGGAUAACACAGCGAAAGUUGUACUAAUACCGCAUGAGACCACGGGGAGACAUCUUCCAGGGGUCAAAGGAGCAAUCCGGUAAGGGGUGGGCUCGCGUCCGAUUAGAUAGUUGGUGAGGUAACGGCCCACCAAGUCGACGAUCGGUAGCCGACCUGAGAGGGUGAUCGGCCACAUUGGGACUGAGACACGGCCCAAACUCCUACGGGAGGCAGCAGUGGGGAAUAUUGGGCAAUGGGGGGAAACCCUGACCCAGCAACGCCGCGUGAGGGAAGAAGGUUUUCGGAUCGUAAACCUCUGUCCUUGGUGAAGAGGAAGAGACGGUAGCCAAGGAGGAAGCCCCGGCUAACUACGUGCCAGCAGCCGC
rnacentral:rRNA from 1 species